GGAAAGAGCUGUGGCUCAGUGGUAGAGCAUCCGCUUGGCAUGCAGGCGGCUCCAGGUUCAAUCCCUGGCAUUUCCU
rnacentral:tRNA from 1 species